AGGUUAACCGUAUAGGGGAGCCGUAGAGAAAUCGAGUCUUAAUAGGGCGUUUAGUUGCUGGGUAUAGACCCGAAACCAGGCGAUCUAUCCAUGAGCAGGUUGAAGGUUGGGUAACACUAACUGGAGGACCGAACCCACUGUCGUUGAAAAGCCAGGGGAUGACUUGUGGAUAGGGGUGAAAGGCUAAUCAAGCCUGGUGAUAGCUGGUUCUCCCCGAAAGCUAUUUAGGUAGCGCCUCGGACGAAUACCAUAGGGGGUAGAGCACUGUUUCGGCUAGGGGGUCAUCCCGACUUACCAAACCGAUGCAAACUCCGAAUACCUAUGAGUACUAUCCGGGAGACAGACUGCGGGUGCUAACGUCCGUAGUCAAGAGGAAAACAAUCCAGACCGCCAGCUAAGGCCCCAAAAUCAUAGUUAAGUGGGAAACGAUGUGGGAAGGCAUAGACAGCUAGGAGGUUGGCUUAGAAGCAGCCACCCUUUAAAGAAAGCGUAAUAGCUCACUAGUCGAGUCGGCCUGCGCGGAAGAUGUAACGGGGCUAAAACUAUGUGCCGAAGCUGCGGAUGUAUACUUUGUAUACGUGGUAGGGGAGCGUUCUGUAAGCCGAUGAAGGUGU
rnacentral:rRNA from 1 species